GCUCCCAUGGCGUAGUGGUCACUGCGCUCGCCUUGCACGCGGGAGACCCGGGUUCGAUUCACGGCGGGGUCA
rfam:Asian citrus Psyllid, Diaphorina citri - Florida Strain, whole genome shotgun sequence.